rnacentral:rRNA from 1 species
CAGCAGCCGCGGGAAUACCGAGUGUGCGAGCGUUAAUCGGAUUUACUGGGCGUAAAGCGUGCGUAGGCGGCUUUUUAAGUCGGAUGUGAAAUCCCUGAGCUUAACUUAGGAAUUGCAUUCGAUACUGGGAAGCUAGAGUAUGGGAGAGGAUGGUAGAAUUCCAGGUGUAGCGGUGAAAUGCGUAGAGAUCUGGAGGAAUACCGAUGGCGAAGGCAGCCAUCUGGCCUAAUACUGACGCUGAGGUACGAAAGCAUGGGGAGCAAACAGGAUUAGAUACCCCGGUAGUCCCUGUCUCUUAUAU